rnacentral:sRNA from 1 species
UUUUGGUAAGUCUUUGACCAAUAAGACCCUAAUAGUUGUUGGAGUAUGUGGCCAAUCUCACUUCCAGAUACAAUGCUUGAUUUCUUGUCAGAAAAGAAAGACAGAAGCGAUGUCAUUGUCUUUGAUAUGUACGGUCAUUUUGGAACAACGUUUGGAAAUGUCAUAAAGAGAUAGGGAGGACAAGUAGUAUCUUUCAAGAUUUGGUUAUCAAUGUGCCUUUGAUUGUUGUCCAAACUAAAGAAAUUAUCUGAAGUAUUAGUUUAUAUGUUGCACUCAGGAAUACAAAGACAGGUUAACUGUUGUUAAGAUAGAUCAUGAUGCAAACCCAAAACUGAUUGAAGAAUAUAAAGUUUAUGGGUUGCCGGCUUUGAUUCUCUUCACAAACGGAAAGGAAGUUCCAGAAAGUCGGAGAGAAGGCGCAAUUGCCAAAGCGAAGCUUCAAGAGUAUGUGGAUGUGUUUUUGGAGUCCAUGCCAGUUGCAUAGUUCCACUUCCAUUUGAACUUGCAGAGAUCCCAAAUUCUAUCAGGUUCAAUCUGUGUGUAAUAUGAGUAAUCCUUUCCUCCUUUUCUUUUUAGUUUCUUAAGUGUAUUGUACUUGCAUUCAAUUGUAUAAAGUGAGCUGAAAAUUUCGAAAACUAUUCUCUGAGCCUCCAAUUUUCGCUUCUUUUCUUCUC